rnacentral:rRNA from 1 species
AAAGGAAUAGACGGGGGCCCGCACAAGCAGCGGAGCGUGUGGUUUAAUUCGACGCAACGCGAAGAACCUUACCAGGACUUGACAUAGCAGUAGUAGGAACCCGAAAGGGUAACGACCUCGCAAGAGGAGCUGUUACAGGUGCUGCAUGGCUGUCGUCAGCUCGUGCCGUGAGGUGUUGGGUUAAGUCCCGCAACGAGCGCAACCCUCAUUGCUAGUUGCUUUAUCUAGCGAGACUGCCGAGACAAACUCGGAGGAAGGUGGGGAUGACGUCAAGUCAGCACGGCCCUUACGUCCUGGGCUACACACACGCUACAAUGGAUGGUACAGAGGGUAGCAAAGGGGUGACCUGGAGCCAAUCCCACAAAGCCAUCCCCAGUUCAGAUUGCAGGCUGCAACUCGCCUGCAUGAAGUCGGAGUUGCUAGUAACCGCAGGUCAGCACACUGCGGUGAAUAUGUUCCCGGGCCUUGUACACACCGCCCGU